ACCAGCCUGGGCAACAUAGCAAGACCCCAUCUCUAAAAAAAUAUAUAAAAAAUGCAGAUUUCUGGGUCCUCUAUACCUGUCAAAUCAGAAUGUCUGGAGGUGGAGCCUGGGCACGUGCGUGUGUACCAAGCUUCUUGAGUGAGUCAGCCACAAGCCCCUGCAUAAGAACUAUGGUGCAGCGUAGAUUAAAGAGGGUGGAUUAUCAGAAAGGCUUGAAGCUGGCCUCGGAGGGUGAGCAAAAUUUGGAGGCAUCAUACUGUUUCAGUUGGGGAGAAUGGCCUGAGGGCUUGCAGCAUGUAGGGGUCCGUGGCCAGUGAUGAGGAGAUCUUGGUGACUGGAGGAAGUGAGUGGAGCAGUGGGGACCUCAGGGGGUGGAUCUAGACUUACCAUGGUGCAGAAUGGGGAGCUACUGAGCGUGUCCCAUCAGGACUGUGACACAAUGACAAUGGGAAGGAAGCUGUCUCAAGGGCACCCAGUGCUCCUUUCUUCCUCUUCUGCAGCUUCCUGAGCUCUUUUCCCCUUGUCACAUUUCCCCCAGGGUUUCUCAAUUGUACAGUAAGAGCCCAGGCUCCCGGGGAGGAUGGUAAACACCCGUGUGGGGCAACAUCCUCCAGUAGCUGGAAGAGGCCCUGGGCAGCCGGCGGACAGUGCACCUGGGGAGUGGGAUAGAAUGGAGGGGGCAGGGCUCUUGGGGUGGCCCCAGCUGCUGCUCCGUGUCUCAGAGAACCUGCUGGAGAAAGAAGAUAACUGAGCAUGCACUAUGUGCUGAGCCUUGGAUUUGUUAAUCUCCCUGCUGUGGAACAAGUGCUGCUGUUCCCGCUGUGACUUCAGAGGCUAAGUUAUUCACCAUGUCAUUCUGCAGGCUGGUGAGUUGGAGAGGCCUCUGUGACCACAGAGCGUUGGUCUCCUGCUGCUCGAAUGCAGGCUAAGCUGAACAUGUGGACAUCACGGCAGAGCCGGGCUGAAGUUGAACUUCACGAGAUCUGUAAAUGGUUGACCAAGCGAAGGGACAGCGCCAUGGCAGGACUGGAGGAACCCACUGAAGCCCUGUGAUAGAAGAACAGAAUCCCUCCGUCCUUGAAAAACAUUCAGUGAUAUGCAGGAAGUGACAGGCCGGUUACAAAUUAAUUAUGCAGCCAGUGGAGCUGGCCUUGGCUCAGGAACAUUCUGUUAGCCUGGUCUCAGUACCCGUGUGCUAUGGACGUACUACACCACAGCCCUUCGCAAAGGCAAGGGCGGCCGCUGCUGCGUAAUAGGAGCUUCCGGAUUCUCCAUCCCUGCGUGCCCUGCACAUACUUAGUGAUCUUGGACAAGUACUUCACCCUUUUUCCUAGGCCUCUGUCAUUCCUGUCAGUGGGCUUCCCCACGGUGACAUUUAAUGGCUCCAACCUUUUCGUUUCCUGUGUCUUGACUGAGUUCGGGGAAAUAAAGGCCCUGUAUUUUACACUUUGCAAAGGUGGCCCACUCCAGGCACCAGGGUACGGCUCGGGGCCUUGGUCAUUGGAUUUUGGCCCCGUUCUAACCCAAGUCUUAAUAAAGACAAGAGAGAUGAUUGAGAAGGACUGAGCCCGUAUUAUCAAAUGGGAGCUGUAUCGAGUGGAGUAAGGAUAGACUGAACAUAAUUAUUUUCAUCAAACCACAAAUAACACGCAGUGGAGUUGCCAUAGCACCUUCGUGUUCCUUUCUCUCCAGGAAUUGCAGAAAACUUCAGGCUGAUGCGGCCAAAGAAGCAGCACCUGGUACAGAUUAUUCCUGCCUGAGGGAAUUACUGACCUGCAGGAGGACGGGACAUAAUCCUGCGCACAGUGUGCCUGCGGCCCUGCUGCUUUUUCAGUUAGGUUAGAACAGCAGAGGAGGAGGCUUCUUUCUGGGGUGGUCGUGGCGCCCCCUAGAGGACGUUCCUGCCACAGAUGGUGGGGAAUCGUUAUCUUUUUCCCUCAC